ensembl:lncRNA
CUCAUAUGAUUCAUAAGACUCUGUCUUCUGAUUGCCAUUGGACUCUCCUGUCUCGGAUUCUGCAACAUUUCUUUUCUGGUGACCAGAAGUCCAGGACUAGAGAGGAUAGAGUUGCUGUCUCCUUUGCCUGCAGGCCUAAGAGGGGCCUGAGCUUCCAGAAUCCUCGGACCUCUGGCGCCACCAGGUUAGCUUGCCUCUGCUCUGUUGGUUUAAGUCACACUUCAAUCAAGACCUCAAUGGUCCUGGGGCCAGGGAUUUAGCUCAGUGGUUUUGCUGCCUGCUGCGCAAGCACAAGGACCUUAGUUCGAUCCCCGGUACCAAAAAAAAAAGAAGACCUCAAUGGUCCUGUGAUGCUGUGAUGCUCCAGGGCAGGACCACACCAGCGGG